rnacentral:tRNA from 1 species
GGGGAUUUAGCUCAGUGGUAAGAGCGCUUGCCUAGGAAGCGCAAGGCCCUGGGUUCGGUCCCCAGCUCCA